rnacentral:lncRNA from 1 species
GCCACAAUGCGAAGCUAAUUAAUUUUUUUUUUGUAUUGUAAUUUUUUUUGUAUUUUUUAGUAGAGACAGGGUUUCUCCAUGUUGGCCAGGCUGGUCUCAAACUCUUGAGUUCAAGUGAUCCACCCGCCUCAGCCUAGUGCUGAGAUUACAGGCAUGAGCCACCAUGCCCGGCCCAGUCUUAACUUUUCUUAAUAACAGACCCAUAGCAAAGACAUAGGAACUGCCUUUCACCAGGAGUGUCAGCCUUUGAUACUGCUGGGGUGCCAAGAGCACCAUGCUUCCAAUUCCUCCACCUGUUACUCUCACAAGCAUCACACCGAGACAUUUCUGCUCCCCUGCCGGCCAGCCCUGGAGACGGAGAGUCCUGGCAGUGACAGACUGGCCAGGCUUGGAAAGGGCCCCUCCUCCACUCAGCAGUGGCUUUAUUGCUUGCUCAAGGCCACUGCUUUUCCCAGGAUCUCCUGGAGUCCCUCCAUUUUUUCCUGAAUCCUUUAUAGCUGUGAAGGACUCACACUUCAUGGGCCUAGGACCAAAUUCAAGACAGGCACUGGGGGCUUCCCAAUCCCCUUUUCCCCAGACACAGGUCCCCUGAAAUAUUCUCCAGGCCAGGGCAGGCAGUCCGGCUGGAGGUGGUCUCCAAAUCAACACAGCCCGCACUCCCCAUCCAUGCUAGAGAAGAGCUGGGCGCCUUCUCUGAAUCCCGUAGCCAUUCUUCUGUCCUAACCGCCCUCUUUCGGACUGCAUGGAAUCAUGUUUGUUCUGGAAAACAGAGGAGCAGAAACAGGAGGUCUUCAUUUGGAUUAUUUGGAUUCCAAGCACAAGGUCUUCUCUCAUGUCCCCACUUGAACCUUCUCUGGGUCUCGCCGGCUUAUCAUGUCGCCUGGUGAGUGGACUGCGCCGGGCUGGGCCUGCUCCUCCUGACAGCCUUGAGGACUGUCCCGGCAUGUUGCUGCAUCCCAAAUAAACAAAAUUC